AUUUAUUUCUCAUGCCAAAACUCACGUAAAUGCAGAUGCAACUUCAGCAGAGAUCUCAACAGGAUGAUGGCCUAAUUCCAAACGCAGCUUCCCAUGUCAUAUUUCAGCUUCCCUGUACCAAUUCCAUCCAAAGAGAGGUUUCCCAAAUCCCCAAACUCCCACAACAACCAUCUCCUGCAAUCCAUUUGACCUAAGUAAUGAGAAAGGAGCAUUAUUUCUUGAAAGCACGGCAUAGCCACCCUUUAUAACGCCGAGGUUCUGAUGCCCUGAGCUCUCUAGCUAGGUGCCAAUUUUGUUAUAAUCAUCAAAUCACUUCCUUUUAUAAGACAACUUGUAUCUAGAAGUUAAACAUCUCUCUCAACUGCGAGCUUGAUCCCACAAACUUUACUGACAUGCAAAGUUUCUACUCAUGCAAACGAUCCUCUGCAGGCACUGUCUUGCCAGCCCCAUUCAUGUGAAUGCCCCAAUUAAACGAUUACAUGAGCGAGCUCCAGGCCAGGUCCCGCUCAUUCCCUGGAGCCGGUGAAUAGCUGUGCUGCCUUCCACAGCAGCCCAGCCAGAAACUAUGCUUGGAACUUGAUUUGCAACAGCUAAGUGGGACUCAGCAACAAUGCACAAAACGAGUACAACGCGACGACCUUUAUCGGGUGGCCUUCCUCUCCUCCUCGCUCGGAUUUAAUGCGAGCGUUAUGCAAUGGCUUUGCUAUAGCAACAGCUCCGGCGAUCGGCAGUAACCCCGGCGCUGCCCGGCGCUGCCGCAGGGCCGUGAUGCAGCUGCUGAACUUUGGCCCACUAGCGAGCCUCCCACUCGCCUGGCACCGCGCUCCGGCCUGUUUACACUGCUCACAUGAUGGGAGGCUCCUGGCAGCCUUCUGCAGCCAGCAGGAUUUCUAGGACCAGGCCAAGAUUGCCAAAGGCUUGAAACGAUUAACUCUUGCGAGCAGGGGCUGCACGCUCCAGCUGCUGCCUGCGAAGGGCCCAGGAGAAAGGAAGCGGCGCAGUGGGAGGGGAGCUUCACUCUGCCAACACCGCUGGAUGCUGAGUGCGAUGAAGACACUCAGAGAGGGGAGGAGGGUGGCCUCUCAUAGGUGCUCUGCAGAACCUCAGGUAUUCCUGGGCACUUGGAUUGCACAGAAAAUUCCUUAACGGCCACACGUUGACAGCUGCAAAUUAUCCACCAACAUCAUAGAAGCUGCUUAGAAGAACCCUUCAAAACCUGCCAGUGGUCAAAGUGUUGACCUCUGUCUGCAUCACCUAACUGCGCUCUGGACUGCACUGAGAACACAGCGCUGGAUGACUACUUCUGUCAAUAUUCUUGGCCACUUUUUCUUACGUACUUGUUAGUUAGGAGUAGUAUACAUAACCUCUUGUAUGCAGUAUUUUAGGGCAUUUCUCCAAUAAAAUCUUGUUCCCA